rnacentral:rRNA from 1 species
UACGGGGGGGGCAAGCGUUGUUCGGAAUUACUGGGCGUAAAGGGCCAGUAGGCGGCCAACUAAGUCCGACGUGAAAUCCCAAGGCUUAACCUUGGAACUGCGUCGGAUACUGGAUGGCUUGAAUUCGGGAGAGGGAUGCAGAAUUCCAGGUGUAGCGGUGAAAUGCGUAGAUAUCAGGAGGAACACCGGUGGUGUAGACGGCUUUCUGGACCGUAACUGACGCUGAGACACGAGAGCGUGGGUAGCAAACAGG